CAAGACAAAAGGAAUCAAUUCAAUCUUCAUGAUAAAAAUGAAAUAACCAACGAUACACCUAUAUGUUAAAGGCAAAUCAGAAAAAGAAACAAGGCAACUAAUUAAUACUAACAUCUUCUUCACCACAAACACAUCCAGAUCUGAUGAAACAAAGACUACAGUGGACACUCGCAUGAACAAAUUAAAUUUGAAAGAGAGAAACCAACAAGACAUCAGACUUGAUGAAACAAAGACUACAAUGGACACUCAAAUGAACAAAUUAAAUUUGAAAGAGUGAAACCAACAAAACAAAGAUGAACCUGAAGUUUAUACGGACUGAAUGACUGACGCGGCUUCGAACGAAUCGGAAAAAAUCGAACCAAAAUCUCGGAUCAGAACAAACUUGGAUUUGGUGCCGGAAAGCACGAAACUAAAAUGAAUUCUAUAAAACUCCGUCGGACUCUAUGGUUCCAAAACUGAAAAUCAAACGAGGAAGCUCGCAAAAACAAGUUGUCCGACCUUCUGCUUAUGACUGUGUGUGGGGGCCUGGGGGAGUCGUUUGGACGGAAAACAGUGACACCUUUGGAGAGGAGUGAGUCAGUUGGUGGCAGAACAUGGCGUUUGGGUGGUGUUUGACUGCUCAACGACGAGAAUGGUGGUCCGGCGGCUGGAGACGGCGGGUUCUGGCGUGGAGCGGCGGCGAGCAGCUGCGGCUGCUUGGGGUUGGUCGUGUUGCUACUGUCUCCGGCGAUGGAGGGUGGUUGGAGAUGGUCGGUUGGAGGGGUGUUUGUGUUGGAAAUAGGAGGCUAUAUAUAUAUAUAUAUAUAUAUAUAUAUAUAUAUUAUUUGUGGAAGAGAGGAUUGAUGAUUU
rnacentral:lncRNA from 1 species